rnacentral:rRNA from 1 species
AUACGUAGGUGGCAAGCGUUGUCCGGAAUUAUUGGGCGUAAAGCGCGCGCAGGUGGUUUCUUAAGUCUGAUGUGAAAGCCCACGGCUCAACCGUGGAGGGUCAUUGGAAACUGGGAGACUUGAGUGCAGAAGAGGAUAGUGGAAUUCCAAGUGUAGCGGUGAAAUGCGUAGAGAUUUGGAGGAACACCAGUGGCGAAGGCGACUAUCUGGUCUGUAACUGACACUGAGGCGCGAAAGCGUGGGGAGCAAACAGGAUUAGAUACCCUGGUAGUCCACGCCGUAAACGAUGAGUGCUAAGUGUUAGGGGGUUUCCGCCCCUUAGUGCUGCAGCUAACGCAUUAAGCACUCCGCCUGGGGAGUACGGUCGCAAGACUAAAACUCAAAUGAAUUGACGGGG